ensembl:lncRNA
GGAUUCACAAUAAACAGCAUUCAAUGGUGUGAAUAAAAUGGCUCAGAGAGGAGGGACUCAGUGUUCUGACAUAAUAAUGUGUUUGACAGAGACUGUGCUUGGGAUGAUUCAGUCUGACUCUUCUCAGAGUAAACACAUAUACAAUGGAUCUUCAUUCAGUUAUUCUGUUCUAUGCCUCAGCAGCUGUUGUAUUUUGAAAUACUAUCAGUCCAGAUUGAACAGAUGUUGGUGCUGAUGAGGGUCAAAAAGCUACACUGUCCUGCAGUUAUUCCUCCUCUGGGAGGACGGAUGAUCUCUUCUGGUACCGUCAGUAUGGAAGACCAAAACCUGAAUUUCUUGUAGCCACAUACAGUACUGCAAAAGAGACUGGGGUAUCUGCUGCAGAUUCAUAAUUUUCCAUUAAAG